rnacentral:miRNA from 1 species
ACCUGCAUGGUCAUCGCAACU